GAGUCUCCCUUUAUUGCCCAGGCUGGACUGCAGUGGCGUGAUCUCGGCUCACUGCAAGCUCCGCCUCCCGGAUUCAAGCGAUUCUUCUGCCUCAGCCUGCGAUUCUUCUGCCUCAGCCUCCCGAGUAGCUGGGACUACAGGCACGUGCUACCACACCUGGCUAAGUUUUUGUAUUUUUAGUAGAGAUGGGGUUUCACCAGAUUAGCCAGGAUGGUCUCCAGCUCCUGACCUCGUGAACCGCCCGCCUUCGUCUUACAAAGUGCUGGGAUUACAGGCAUGAGCUUCCGCGCCCGGCCCCGAAACUUUCUUUCAACAAGAGUUAGAGGAGUACAGAGAAGAGAAUAAAUUGGUGAGGAAUUUCAUGGAAGAGGUGAAAUUUAAGAAGAAUUUUAAAGAAUAGGUAGAAUUUGGUUAUGUGGAAAGGAGUCAAAAAGUUUUUCCAGGCAGAAGGAAAAUUGAGUAAAAACUUUGAGUCAGAAAAAAGCAUGAUCCAGAAAUGUGAGAAAACUAGUCUGGGACACUGAGUUGUUUUUUUCUUUGCAUGUAUUCAACAAAUAUUUAUUGAAUAACUACCAAGUUUCCAGCGCCAUACUAGGCGAUUCUUCUGCCUCAGCCUGCGAUUCUUCUGCCUCAGCCUCCCGAGUAGCUGGGACUACAGGCACGUGCUACCACACCUGGCUAAGUUUUUGUAUUUUUAGUAGAGAUGGGGUUUCACCAGAUUAGCCAGGAUGGUCUCCAGCUCCUGACCUCGUGAACCGCCCGCCUUCGUCUUACAAAGUGCUGGGAUUACAGGCAUGAGCUUCCGCGCCCGGCCCCGAAACUUUCUUUCAACAAGAGUUAGAGGAGUACAGAGAAGAGAAUAAAUUGGUGAGGAAUUUCAUGGAAGAGGUGAAAUUUAAGAAGAAUUUUAAAGAAUAGGUAGAAUUU
rnacentral:lncRNA from 1 species